rnacentral:rRNA from 1 species
AUACGAAGGGUGCAAGCGUUACUCGGAAUCACUGGGCGUAAAGCGCGCGCAGGCGGCUAUUUAAGUUGGAUGUGAAAGCCUACGGCUCAACCGUAGAACUGCAUCCAAAACUAUUUAGCUAGAGUGUGGGAGAGGAAGAUGGAAUUAGUUGUGUAGGGGUAAAAUCCGUAGAGAUAACUAGGAAUACCAAAAGCGAAGGCAAUCUUCUGGAACACUACUGACGCUGAGGCGCGAAAGCGUGGGGAGCAAACAGGAUUAGAAACCCGAGUAGUCC